GUAACAAGGUCUCCGUUGGUGAACCAGCGGAGGGAUCAUUACAGAGUGACCACUGUGUCGUGGCUCUGCCAACCCCGCGAACCUUAUACAAACACGUUGCCUCGGCGGGCCUCCCGCCGCAGGCCCAUCCACAAACGCUCUGAAAAGCUCCGCGCUCCUUCUGAACUAGAAACUUUAAACGAGUAAAAACUUUUGGCAACGGAUCUCUUGGCUCUGGCAUCGAUGAAGAACGCAGCGAAAUGCGAUACGUAGUGUGAAUUGCAGAAUUCAGUGAACCAUCGAAUCUUUGAACGCACCUUGCGGCCGCCGGUAAUCCGGCGGCCAUGCCCGUCCGAGCGUCGUUUCGACCCUCGGGGCCCCCCCUCUUGCAGGGCGGCGGCCCCGGCCUUGGGCCAGCGCGUGCCGCUCUCGAGCGCCGCGCGGCCCGCAGAACAGCGGCGGCAGCACCGGCGACGUCCCCUGCGCAGUAGCAUACACUCGCAUUGGUCUCCCGGCGCGGCCCGCCUCGAACCCCAAACUUCUUUAGGUCGACCUCGGAUCGGGUAGGGAUACCCGCUAAACUUAAGCAUAUCAUAGGCCGGAGGA
rnacentral:rRNA from 1 species